rnacentral:misc_RNA from 1 species
UGGUCCAUUCCAUGUGGCACUGCCCCUGCAGAACCCUUUAACUGAAUAAGUUCCCUUGUGUCCAAAACUUUCAUCUCUAUUUCCCAUUCCUAGUUCAUCCAUUUUUCUUCUGUGAUAUACUCUUAAUGUUUUUGGCCAUGAAUCUCAUCUUCCAAAGGCCUUUAGCUGAAUUCCUAUCACAAAACCUGUGAGAUCACAAUCAAAAUAGGUGGAUUUCAUACUACAUCAUACCUCUUGAUCAUGAAUCAGGUUUAAUCGUGAAUCAGGUUUAGAUAAAAAAUUUUCAACAGCUCCUAUAAAUAAUUU